UACGAAGGGGGCUAGCGUUGCUCGGAAUCACUGGGCGUAAAGGGUGCGUAGGCGGGUCUUUAAGUCAGGGGUGAAAUCCUGGAGCUCAACUCCAGAACUGCCUUUGAUACUGAGGAUCUUGAGUUCGGGAGAGGUGAGUGGAACUGCGAGUGUAGAGGUGAAAUUCGUAGAUAUUCGCAAGAACACCAGUGGCGAAGGCGGCUCACUGGCCCGAUACCUACGCUGAGGCCCGAAAGCGUGGGGAGCAAACAGG
rnacentral:rRNA from 1 species